rnacentral:lncRNA from 1 species
AUGUAACUGUGAGUGUGCUAUGUGAGAUCCAUGUAAAUGGAAGAAUCCGGGAGCAUUAUAUUCCAUUAAUAACAAGAGUUUGUGUAAAAACGGCAGUUUGCUCUUGACAUAAAGUGCUCUGACGUGGAAUGCUUCUUCCUUUCUUAACCUUUCAGAUCUCCUGAUUGCCUUACAGUGUAGAUCUUCACACUCAAUCAAUUCUGCUUGCUUCUAAGGAGGCAUUUCUGUUUUCAAAAGGGGGGUUCAUGAGGGCAGUGAUAGCAGCAGUAGAAGGUCUGGGUAUGUUAGCUAGGACUUUCUUAGUGGCAGGUGAAAAAAACUGAAUGUGAACCAGGGAAACCAGAAAAGGGCAGCGUGGCGUUGGCUUUAGGGACUCCUGGAAUCAGGGACUUGAAUGUCGUGAGGACUCCUGCUCUCCACUGUUUGUCUUGGCUUCUUGGAGCAUCAGCUUGUUUGCUUGGACUGGCUUCUCAAGUGACGGGGCCAUUGUUGCUGCAGCUCUAGCCUAGCGUGUUUACAGUUCCAAGACAGAGAGGAAAGACCCUCUUUCCUCAGCUCGAGUUUGAAUAAACCCAGCAUAGAAUUCUGAUUGGCUGGACUUUGGUCACAUGUCUAUUUGUGGACCAAUCCCAGUGACUGAGGGUUGAGACUUUGUGAUUGGCCCAUCCUGGAUCAGGUGCCCACCUCUUGCCGCAUGUUAGAAACACCCGUCAGAACCACAUGGUUUGAAAAAGGCUCCAUCUACAGAGGCUGUUUUGGGCACCUAUUUUAGUAAUUUUUUCUUUGAAGUCUUCUUUCCCUCUGUCUGCGUAUAUAUAUGUAUUUAUAAAAUGACAUCAAGGAGAGAGAGCCUCUGUUAUGUCCUAAUCUCUCUUUGCCGCGUGGUUGCAACUGCACAUUCUUAACAAAGGUGUGGAAGCUCCGCCGGAGAUGGAAGUCUCAGUGCAGAUGUGCUUGGACCAGGUCAAGAAGCAAAUACUUCAGCCUUUAGAGAAGAGCCCACUGGUCAGGCCUGUGUGGCAUCGCCUCAUCAUCAUCAUCAUCAGGCAUCACCUCCCCCUGGCCUCUGGCCGGGCACCUUCCCCCACUGUCCCAUCUCUCCAACAAGAGACACUCCAAGUCUGUGCUUUAGGGUGGGACUUUCUUCUGACCCUGUUAACUUGUUCAUUCUUUUAAUGCCAACUC